UGAAGCCGUCAGGCUGGGUCCUA
rnacentral:piRNA from 1 species